CCCAGGUCAGGCGAGG
rnacentral:rRNA from 1 species